UUGACUAUAAGUCUCCACCACCUCCAUACGUUUACAGUUCUCCACCACCUCCACUAUCGUAUUCGCCAUCUCCCAAGGUAGACUACAAGUCUCCACCACCUCCAUAUGUUUACAGCUCUCCACCACCACCAUAUUACUCACCAUCCCCUAAAGUCGAAUACAAAUCCCCACCACCUCCAUAUGUUUAUAGUUCUCCACCACCACCAUAUUACUCACCCUCACCUAAAGUAGAUUACAAGUCUCCACCACCACCGUAUGUUUACAGCUCCCCACCACCACCAUACUAUUCACCUUCUCCAAAGCCCACAUACAAAUCACCACCACCUCCAUAUGUUUACAAUUCUCCACCACCACCAUACUACUCACCAUCCCCUAAGGUCGAAUACAAAUCUCCACCACCUCCAUACGUCUAUAGCUCUCCACCCCCACCAUACUACUCACCCUCACCUAAAGUAGAUUAUAAGUCUCCACCACCACCGUAUGUUUACAACUCUCCACCACCACCAUACUAUUCACCUUCUCCAAAACCCACAUACAAGUCCCCACCACCACCAUAUAUUUACAGCUCUCCACCACCACCAUACUAUUCUCCUUCUCCUAAACCAGUAUACAAAUCUCCACCACCACCAUACGUCUAUUCCUCUCCACCACCACCAUACUAUUCACCUUCUCCUAAACCAGCAUACAAAUCUCCACCACCACCGUAUGUUUAUAGCUCUCCACCUCCUCCAUACUACUCGCCUUCUCCUAAACCCAUAUACAAGUCUCCACCACCACCGUACGUCUACAACUCUCCUCCACCACCAUACUACUCUCCUUCUCCAAAACCGGCAUACAAAUCUCCACCACCACCAUACGUAUACAGCUUUCCACCUCCUCCAUACUACUCGCCUUCUCCUAAACCCGUAUACAAGUCUCCACCACCACCAUACGUCUACAACUCUCCUCCACCACCAUACUACUCUCCUUCUCCAAAACCGGCAUACAAAUCUCCACCACCACCAUACGUAUACAGCUCUCCACCACCACCAUACUACUCGCCUUCUCCUAAACCAACAUACAAAUCUCCACCACCACCAUAUGUUUAUAGCUCUCCACCUCCUCCAUACUACUCGCCUUCUCCUAAACCCGUAUACAAGUCUCCACCACCACCGUACAUCUACAACUCUCCACCACCACCAUACUACUCCCCUUCACCUAAACCAUCAUACAAAUCCCCACCACCACCAUAUGUUUACAGCUCUCCACCACCACCAUAUUACUCGCCUUCUCCUAAGCUUACAUACAAAUCCUCACCACCACCCUAUGUUUACAGCUCUCCACCACCACCAUAUUACUCUCCUUCUCCUAAGGUUGUAUACAAAUCUCCACCACCACCAUAUGUUUACAGCUCUCCACCACCACCAUACUACUCCCCUUCACCUAAACCAUCAUACAAAUCCCCACCACCACCGUACGUCUAUAACUCUCCACCUC
rnacentral:lncRNA from 1 species